rnacentral:misc_RNA from 1 species
GUGUGACCUACCCUUGCAGCAAACACAUCCAAACUUACUCCCAUAUCCAUGCAAUAAGUUACAUUUGUUCAUCAUACCCCACUCUGUUUCACCAGAAAAGAAACCACAUUUGCGUAAGUUCUUUUAUGAUAUUAUGAAUCAGGUUCAUGAAGAAUAUAAUACAUGACAAAAUCCAACAGCUAACUGAUGGAUGACUGUAAAUCAUAACUGAAACACUAAAUAGAGAAGCUCAUUAGACACUUGACAGAAUACAAAAACCAAAUGACAUUUUUUGCUCCACCACUUCUUAUCAGCAAUCUGUUUGAACAUGCGGUUAAUCCUCUCGCUUUUCUAUUGCUGUGCUGCUAUACUUGAACUGGGUAUGAUCCUGCUGCUCCUUGCACAGUAAAGCAGCCUACUCUAUGCGUGAUAAAUUGCAAAAUACCAUUUUGAACUUUAUCACUUAUAAAAUUCAACAUGACCAGCAAUCUCCCUACAUAACAGCUUGCAUUCAUUAGCUAACUUUAAGCUCUUAACAAUUAUAAGUCCUGUAUGUCUGUGAGUAGAUGUCGGUUUAUAUGAUUUAGCCUCCUCUUCCCUACCAAGCAACAGAGCUUCCCUGGCAGGUAUCACAUUCUCCAACCAAAAUUCCCGUAGAAUGGGGUGUAUUAGCUCCCAAUAACUAUGGUCCCUAUGCACUCGAAUUAUUGUGCUUCCAUUUGGUGUCCAGCAAUACAAAUCUGCCCAUUCUCUAUUCAUUAUUUCCAAUUGCCCUUGAACUUGAGGCAUGUAAUAGAAAGGCAUGGUUGACCAGGGCAGAGCCAUCUCUGGCUUCCCCUUGUUAUAGGGACACUUAACUUCCAGGAUGCCACCCUCCAGGAGACCAUCUGGAGAAGCACCAAGCCAAUCAAAUUGUUGUGCUGGAUGGAUUGCAAAUCCCAAAUGACUAACUUCACGACUUGUGAUGCUUUUAUAGCUGUCUAAAGCUGCCGCUUCAUUGUGCACACCCCAUUCCAAGGCUCUCUUAGAAGUUUCAAUGAUAUUUAUCUCUGGUGCAAAAACCUUCUCAUUCCAGAGCUCCAAACGACGGUUUCCCUUCCAAAAACCCAAGGCAGUACUGAAGGUGCUUGCGGUCAGUUUGUCCCUCCUCAGCGCAAACCAUUCUUCUGAACGUUGGGGUGCAUCAGAAUGUGUGAUGCAGGCGGCUAAUGCUAGUGAUGAGGGGGGACGGACAAUGAGAGAGUCUGUUGAAGAGAUCAAAGGUGCAGAGCAGGUGGAUAAGGUUCUGAAAAAUCCACCUCCAUACCUUCUCCU